AACCAUUGUAAACAAUCAAAGA
rnacentral:miRNA from 1 species